AAAACGUCGCUGAGAAGUAUCUUCAAUUAUCCCUAAUGAUUUCAAGAAGGCAAUUGAAUUAUGGACCUCUUUGCAAGAAUAAAACAAAUUGGCCAAUUUCACGUAGAAGAUAUUAGUAAGAGGCAUAGCUUGUUAUUUUUCUUCAGAUAUUGCUUCAGGUGUAUCAGAAUUUUUGUAUACAUUUAUCGCAAACAGUAAUAAAAUGGCUGCCUGUGUUGUUUAAAUAACGAGAAUGGUGUCAACGACACCGAUAAGCACAUUAAGUUUUCAUCGAAGCGACUAACGAGCGCUGCUAACAUCGAGUCAGUAUAAAUUUAGGCAAGUUCAUUGGAAAACAGUAUCAAGAUGAACUAGUUCAGUAAGUAAACCACUUUAACAUUGCUCGUUUAUUCACACAUUUUUAUAUUCCAUGAUAAAAACUGUCUUUCCUUUACGAUAAUAAAAUGAGGAACUUUUUUUCUCGCUUACCACCUGGAAAUAUCGAUUGAUCAUCAACGCUUGCGCUCUAUGUGAAGAUGUUUUUGCGCUGGAAAUAUGCACACUCAAAUAUUUUCGAUAUUUCAUGGCAGAAUAACAAAGAAAAAAAGACGAUGACGUGAGCGUUGUUUAACGAGCAAAGCUUAGAGAUAAGCGUACAAGGACUCGUAGAGAUUAUCGGCCCCAGCCUGCGACUCACAUCCUGUUUCCAUCGCGAGACAAACUGCGACACACCCACUGUUCCGAGAACGUCGAACUUCGCCACCAAUUUCCAGUCGAAUCGAAAGCAACGCGUGUGGGAUAUUCGCGAGAUCGUGUAGUUUCCACACUUCUAUUCGCAACUGUGCAAUUACUCUCUAAUCGAGAGAGGGGAACGAAACUGAUCGACGUCGAAAUCGUCGACGAUUUGACACUGAUAAUAUCGCAAACCUCGCGAAAUUUUCAACUAACGUCCGUGUAAAUACUUUAUACACGUUCGCCUUUCAGUAAUCGCGUGCAACACCAACGAUACAUUCCUUUCUAUUUGUUUAUCUCUGUCCAAUACUUUCCCCUGGGCGAUGUAAAAUCACGAUAUAGAGAACAAACUGUCACGUGCUUAUCGGAUCGGCGAGAUUUGCGCACGUGAACCUGUGAUGAUCGGCAAAACGGUACUGAUUGUCAAUCAAGUUCUCGGUAAAGCGACCGGCUUCGAAGCCGGAGAAUAGAAGCCUGGAGGAGGCAAGCUGGUCUGGAGAAGGAGAAGGAACAGGAGAUGGAGGGAGUAUUCUCACAACAAGGGAAGUAGAAACUCGAGGCUGGUUCGCGAAGCCAAGGAAAACCAACCUAGCCAGCUACGAAGAAAUGGUUCGCGGGUAGAACCUGAACUAGACAGUUACUUGUGAAUCGGAUGGAUGUGCUCUUUCGCGGAAAUUGAAAUGUUCCUUGAAUUGGACCCUCGAUAUCGUAACUUAAAGGUUAGAAGACGAUAAGAAAACGAAUAUAAUAAUUCAAAUAUUGCGUUCUUGCUUUGUCGAUAAAGUAGAUCUUUAAGGGAAAGAUCUAGUUCGUGUCGACUUUGAAUCAAUAUAACAACGCGUUUGAAUGAAAUUCGUGGUUGGCAGGAAGCCUACCGAGCUCCCCCGGAUCUAUUUUAUACUGCUGAAUCAUACAGUCAAUUUGGACAUUAAUAUUGCACGAUAUGCGUAACGCACUUUCGUCAUAAAUUUCAGGGAAAUUGGACACACACGAUAAUGACUCUAGACACUUAAUAAAUCAUAGAAGUAUUACAGUCGCAGCAAAACAAAAACGUGGUCGCAAAAAAGCACGUAAUUAUAAUUAGGAUUCGAUGCAAUCAUAAUUUCCAUCGAUCUCUGCAUAGACAAACGUGCGUGUCGUUGGAUCGUUGCCAAACGAGCCGGUGUAAUCGGCGAUACAGGUCUCGUAAUGUCGGUCAUAGUCAUAUCACUGUGUUUUCAACGACA